rnacentral:tRNA from 1 species
UCAUCGGUGGUUCAGUGGUAGAAUGCACGCCUGCCACGACGGGCGGCCCGGGUUCGAUUCCCGGCCAAUGCA